rnacentral:lncRNA from 1 species
AAUUGAAAGAGUGAUGAGAAUUGAUACAGACUCGUGGUGUUUUGCUAAGACAAGACUGUAAAAGAAUACAUUGAGUUUGGAAGGAAUAUGAACAGGACUCAACAGACUGUGACAGAGGCUUACAUAACUAGCUUUACAAUGCUUCAUUGCUCUCAUGUCUUUUGUCUUCAAGGAUCGUCACUUUGUUGAGAGAGGCAUGACAGAAAACUUCUCCUGGCAUCCUUGCUGACCCUGGUCUCUCCUGCUGACUUGUGCAGAUUCAGUAGAGGCCUGGCUGUUUCUGCUGGGUCGUGUUCACUAUACUGAUACUACUUAACUGGACUGCUGUUAUAUAUCCUGACAACACAGAGUUCAGAAAUGGGUGCAGUCCAUGCCACAUGCAGGAGCUAAGAUGUCAGACCCCAGAGGAUUUGGCUUCCUGACGAGGAAGCCAUGUGACUCUGAAGCCGUGCGGGAAGAGCCACUAGAAACCUGUGUCCUAGAAAUCAGGAUCUUGAACUUGGCUCCUCUAGUCCCUGACUUUUAUACGGGAAGUCGGUAUAGACCUGCAACUGCGUCUGUGUGAUUGUGGAAAUGUGUGUGGGUGUGUAUCUGAGUGCAUGUGUGUGCCUGAGUGCACUGGUAUGAUGGAGCUGGAGGAGAGAGAGAGAGAGAGAGAGAGAAAGAGAGAGAGAGAGAGAGAGAGGUGUCUGUGAGAGUGGAGAGCUGGAGCCCAGGCGCGAGCAUGAGUCUCUGAAAGAUUAGAUGCAGUGGGCAUGGAUCAGAGCUAAAGGGUACUGGAUGGUGUGGUGUGAAUCUUCCUGUGUCUGACGCUUACAGGUGGUCAUUGACAUAUGCACCUGUGCAUGAUGGGAGGGCAUGGAAGGUGGCAGGAGGAAGGGCCUGGGGUGACUGUUCACAGAGGGGCUCAGGGUUUGUGAAUCAGAGGCUAAGGGGAAAGGCCCCACAAUCCAGGAUCUGGAAGAGCUUAUUUAAUUUUGUCACUCACUGUGUGUUUCUGUGUAUGAAUACCUGCAUUAAGGGAGCAUCCUAAGUAUCCAUCAGCAGAAGAAUGAAUAAAGAAAGUGCAGUUUGAGGCUGGAGAGAUGGCUCAGUGGUGAAAACGACUGACUACUCUUCCAGAGGCCCUGAGUUCAAUUCCCAGCAACCACAUGGUGGCUGACAACAAUCUGUAAUGGGAUCCAAUGCCUUCUUCUGGUGUGUCUGAAGACAGCGACAGUGUACUCAUGUGCCUGAAAUGAAUAAAUAAAUAAAUCUUGAAAAAA